CAGUAGCCGCGGGAAUACGUAGGUGGCAAGCGUUGUCCGGAAUUAUUGGGCGUAAAGGGCUCGCAGGCGGUUUCUUAAGUCUGAUGUGAAAGCCCCCGGCUCAACCGGGGAGGGUCAUUGGAAACUGGGAAACUUGAGUGCAGAAGAGGAGAGUGGAAUUCCACGUGUAGCGGUGAAAUGUGUAGAGAUGUGGAGGAACACCAGUGGCGAAGGCGACUCUCUGGUCUGUAACUGACGCUGAGGAGCGAAAGCGUGGGGAGCGAACAGGAUUAGAUACCCGUGUAGUCCCUGUCUCUUAUAC
rnacentral:rRNA from 1 species